rnacentral:snoRNA from 1 species
AUUUUAUGAUGAGGGCACUUCCGUAAUAAUUUUUUGUACCUUUCCCAUACCUUAUACAAAGACUCAUCAUCCAUUUGUCGGAAAGCAGUGAUCUCAUUCUUCAACUU